GGCGAUCAGGUACCGCCCUAGUUCUGACCGUAAACGAUGCCAACUAGCGAUCCGCCGGUGGCUCUUUGGCCCUGGUGGGGAGCUUCCCGGAAACGAAAGUCUUCCGGUUCCGGGGGAAGUAUGGUUGCAAAGCUGAAACUUAAAGGAAUUGACGGAAGGGCACCACCAGGAGUGGAGCCUGCGGCUUAAUUUGACUCAACACGGGAAAACUCACCCGGCCCGGACACCGUGAGGAUUGACAGAUUGAUAGCUUUUUCAUGAUUCGGUGGUUGGUGGUGCAUGGCCGUUCUUAGUUCGUGGAUCGAUUUGUCUGGUUUAUUCCGAUAACGAGCGAGACUCCAGCCUACUAACUAGUGCGGGCAUUGCCUCUGUGCUUUGCACUUCUUAGAGGGAUUGGCUGCGUCUAGCGGCACGAAACGGAGCAAUAACAGGUCUGUGAUGCCCUUAGAUGUCCGGGGCUGCACGCGCGCUACACUGGCAAAAGCAGCGUGCUUGUCCGCCUCCGAAAGGAGCCGGUAAACCCUUGAAAAUUUGCCGUGAUUGGGAUCGAAAAUUGCAAUUAUUUUCCGUGAACGAGGAAUUCCUAGUAAGUGCGAGUCAUCAGCUCGCGUUGAUUACCUCCCUGCCCUUUGUACACACCGCCCGUCGCUGCCUAGAACUGAGCCAUUUCGAGAAUAUUCGGGAUCGCUGGUUGCGGGUCCUUCGGGGCACGCCUCCGGCAAGAGAACGAACGUAAUCGCAGUGGCUUGAACCGGGCAAAAGUCGUAACAAGGUAGCUGUAGGUGAACCUGCUGCUGGAUCAUUACCUUGUCUGCUACGACAUGCGUUUUUGAUGAUGUGGGGAGGUGUUAGGCUGUCUCUGCUUGACAUCGUCCUGACGGGGCCGCCUCUGCCCCUUUCGGAACAGUCCACGGGUGCCUGGCUUGGGCGCUAAUAAGCUAGCAGCUUUCCGUUACAUGCUCUAGCUUGACACCUACCCGUAGGCGAAAACGGCUGUGCUGGAUCCUGUGCAAACGCCGAGCAGUUGUCGUCUCUAAAGUCCGUGGCUGCUGUGAAGCGUUGCGAUAGACCCGACCACGCGUCUCUUGUGGUUCGAGGAGUAGGAUUAAUGAGUACCUGAAGCGGUGCCGCCAGCAAACUCUUUUUUUCACGAAAUUUUUUUAUUACAACAAAGCUAUAUUAGUCUUGCCGGUGGAUCCU
rnacentral:rRNA from 1 species